rnacentral:rRNA from 1 species
UGGGGAAUAUUGCACAAUGGAGGGAACUCUGAUGCAGCGACGCCGCGUGAGUGAUGAAGGAAUUCGUUUCGUAAAACUCUGUUCUAUGGGAAGAAAAGGACUGUACCAUAGGAGAAAGCUCCGGCUAAAUACGUGCCAGCAGCCGCGGUAAUACGUAUGGAGCGAGCGUUGUCCGGAAUUAUUGGGCGUAAAGGGUGCGCAGGCGGCUUUACAAGUUGGAUGUGAAAUAUUGUGGCUCAACCACAAACGUGCAUCCAAAACUGCAAAGCUUGGGUUAAGGAGAGGUAAGUGGAAUUCCUGGUGUAGCGGUGGAAUGCGUAGAUAUCAGGAGGAAUACCGGUGGCGAAGGCGACUUACUGGACUUAAACUGACGCUAAGGCACGAAAGCGUGGGGAGCAAACAGG